rnacentral:rRNA from 1 species
CCUACGGGCGGCAGCAGUGGGGAAUAUUGCACAAUGGGGGAAACCCUGAUGCAGCGACGCCGCGUGAGUGAAGAAGUAUUUCGGUACGUAAAGCUCUAUCAGCAGGGAAGAAAAUGACGGUACCUGACUAAGAAGCCCCGGCUAACUACGUGCCAGCAGCCGCGGUAAUACGUAGGGGGCAAGCGUUAUCCGGAUUUACUGGGUGUAAAGGGAGCGUAGACGGCAGGGCAAGUCUGGAGUGAAAUCCCAUGGCUUAACCAUGGAACUGCUUUGGAAACUGUGCAGCUAGAGUGCAGGAGAGGUAAGCGGAAUUCCUAGUGUAGCGGUGAAAUGCGUAGAUAUUAGGAGGAACACCAGUGGCGAAGGCGGCUUACUGGACUGUAACUGACGUUGAGGCUCGAAAGCGUGGGGAGCAAACAGGAUUAGAUACCCCUGUAGUC